ACUCCUGCGGGAGGCAGCAGUGGGGAAUAUUGGACAAUGGGCGCAAGCCUGAUCCAGCCAUGCCGCGUGAGUGAUGAAGGCCCUAGGGUUGUAAAGCUCUUUCACCGGUGAAGAUAAUGACGGUAACCGGAGAAGAAGCCCCGGCUAACUUCGUGCCAGCAGCCGCGGUAAUACGAAGGGGGCUAGCGUUGUUCGGAUUUACUGGGCGUAAAGCGCACGUAGGCGGACUAUUAAGUCAGGGGUGAAAUCCCGGGGCUCAACCCCGGAACUGCCUUUGAUACUGGUAGUCUUGAGUUCGAGAGAGGUGAGUGGAAUUCCGAGUGUAGAGGUGAAAUUCGUAGAUAGUCGGAGGAACACCAGUGGCGAAGGCGGCUCACUGGCUCGAUACUGACGCUGAGGUGCGAAAGCGUGGGGGGCAAAUAGGAUUAGAUCCCCGUGUAGUCC
rnacentral:rRNA from 1 species